AGAUAGACGAUUGUAGGCAUGCUGGAUGGCUGUAGCGGUUGUGGCUUGUCAGUAGUAUGUAUGUAUGUAUUCCAGGCUGCAAAUUGCAUUGGCAAUGUAGUAGUAGUGCACAAGAUAAUCAUAUGGAUGCAUGGUCUGGUUUGUAGUAGUAGUAGUGUAUGCUUAACUUAUCUGAUAUUGGUGAUUGUGACUUAUAACUUGUGUACUUUAUUAAUUAUAACCUAUCUGAUAUUGGUGAUUGUGACUUAUAACUUGUGUACUUUAUUAAUUAUAACCUGUGGUAUGCUUACCUGAUGUGAUAUUGGUAUAACUUGUGUGGUUUCUCCAUGUAAAAAAGAAGAAGAUUGUGUAUUCUUU
rnacentral:lncRNA from 1 species